CUUUCUCUCCCUCAGUGGUGACUUUGGGGCAUUCUUCAGAUUCCUGUUCUCCGUUCGGUGGCUGCCUUUCUGCUGCAGGUAUCGUCGGCUGUUCCUGCGGAACAUGGAGGGAAAAUGUCCCGUCUCAUCUCCUUUCCUGCAGAAAAACCAGAGCAAACAGAAUUUUACGUGUGACGAUUACACAGGAAUUCCAAUGUUUCAUAAAGAUGAUGUAAAGCUG